UUUAUAUCAUCCGGGAAAAGUAAAUGUAGUAGCUGAUGUGCCAAGUAGGAAGGGUAGAGAGAAACUGUCAAUGUUAACAACUCAGAAUGAGUUGAUAACAGUGAUGGCCAGAAUGGAGUUAGAAGUUAAGUUACCGGAGGAAGCGGUAGAAAUGUUAUUUUUCAUGGAAACCUAACCGACCAUACUGGAACGGGUUAGGGGAGUACAAUUGAGCAAUGAGGAAUGCAAGCAGAUGAAGAAGAGGAUAGAAGAUGAAGAAAAGACUAAGUAUAACUUCGAUAAGGAGGGAUUACUUCAUUUUGAAGGAAGAAUUUG
rnacentral:lncRNA from 1 species